rnacentral:rRNA from 1 species
AGUGAACGCUGGCGGUAGGCCUAACACAUGCAAGUCGAACGGCAGCACAGUAAGAGCUUGCUCUUACGGGUGGCGAGUGGCGGACGGGUGAGGAAUACAUCGGAAUCUACUUUUUCGUGGGGGAUAACGUAGGGAAACUUACGCUAAUACCGCAUACGACCUACGGGUGAAAGCAGGGGAUCUUCGGACCUUGCGCGAUUGAAUGAGCCGAUGUCGGAUUAGCUAGUUGGCGGGGUAAAGGCCCACCAAGGCGACGAUCCGUAGCUGGUCUGAGAGGAUGAUCAGCCACACUGGAACUGAAACACGGUCCAGACUCCUACGGGAGGCAGCAGUGGGGAAUAUUGGACAAUGGGCGCAAGCCUGAUCCAGCCAUACCGCGUGGGUGAAGAAGGCCUUCGGGUUGUAAAGCCCUUUUGUUGGGAAAGAAAAGCAGCAGGUUAAUACCCCGCUGUUCUGACGGUACCCAAAGAAUAAGCACCGGCUGACUUCGUG